UCGGGAAUCUUGGACAAUGGGGGAAACCCUGAUCCAGCCACGCCGCGUGGGUGAUGGAGGCCUUCGGGUUGUAAAGCCCUGUCAGAGGGGAAGAAAGGGUCUUGACCUAAUACGUCCGGGCCUUGACGGUACCCUCAGAGGAAGCACCGGCUAACUACGUGCCAGCAGCCGCGGUAAGACGUAGGGUGCAAGCGUUGCUCGGAAUCACUGGGCGUAAAGGGCGUGUAGGCGGCUUGGUAAGCGGGAUGUGAAAGCCCCCGGCUCAACCGGGGAAGCGCAUUCCGAACUGCCUUGCUUGAGUCCGAGAGAGGGUGGUGGAAUUCCCGGUGGAACGGUGAAAUGUGUAGAUAUCGGGAGGAACAUCUGUGGCGAAGGCGGCCACCUGGCUCGGUACUGACGCUGAGACGCGAAAGCGUGGGUAGCAAACAGG
rnacentral:rRNA from 1 species